AUUAAUGCAUAAAUUUAGGACCUCAAUUAAAAGUUUCUUUAAAUAUUGUAUUAUUUAAUUACCAAACUAACCUUGAAUAAAAUAAUUUUUUUACCUGCUAAGUAUUAAAGUUACAUUUUUACCCUCUAUUAAUCAACGGUUAAGAUCUUUUUUAUUUUUUUUUAAAAAAAGUACAGAAUCAUUUCUCUUAAUACUAUAAAUAAAUUUCUAUAUAUUUAUAAAUAAAAUAUUAGAUAAUAGUAUAUUUAUAUUAAAAUAAAAAACUAUUUUUAAUAUAUAUAGAGAGAGAGG
rnacentral:lncRNA from 1 species